UACGUAGGGUCCGAGCGUUGUCCGGAAUUAUUGGGCGUAAAGGGCUCGUAGGCGGUCUGUUGCGUCGGGAGUGAAAACUUACAGCUUAACUGUGAGCGUGCUUUCGAUACGGGCAGACUUGAGGCAUUCAGGGGAGAACGGAAUUCCUGGUGUAUCGGUGAAAUGCGCAGAUAUCAGGAGGAACACCGGUGGCGAAGGCGGCAUCCUGGACCGAUACUGACGCUGAGGAGCGAAAGCCAGGGGAGCAAACGGG
rnacentral:rRNA from 1 species